AGUUAAGAGAAGCAGACGUCCGAAAUUAUCUCCAUGCAUUACCAAAAACCGUGGGCACCACGGCACGGGGAAAACUUACCAGACAACUCUCAUGCCAUCAAGCCGACGGACUUUCAAAAAAAUAAAAGAUGCAUUUCUUUACUUCUUUACUAAGGGAAUUAAUUAUCUGGAAGAACAGGAACAUACAUGACGGCUAGAAUAUGGUCUUAGCCCAACCUUAAAUAGAACAAGCUCUCUUCACCCCAAUCCUGCCGCCAGCUCAUUUCCCUCUCUUUAGAGACUAUCAUGAUGAAGCAAGUAGAGAAUGGAAUCUCCUGGACCAUUGUCUCUUGCCUUCUUUGCAGAAUUUUACAUUUGUUCUGUCAGAAAAAUAACAAUAAAAGAUUUAGAAUCUCA
ensembl:lncRNA ZBTB20-AS1 ZBTB20 antisense RNA 1